CCUACGGGAGACAGCAGUGAGGAAUAUUGGUCAAUGUACGCGAGUCUGAAGCAGCCAUGUAGCGUGAAGGAUGACUGCCCUAUGGGUUGUAAACUUCUUUUAUAUGGGAAUAAAAUGUUCCACGUGUGGGAUUUUGUAUGUACCAUAUGAAUAAGGAUCGGCUAACUCCGUGCCAGCCGCCGCGCUAAUACGGAGGAUCCGAGAGUUAUCCGGAUUUAUUGGGUGUAAAGGGAGCGUAGGUGGAUUGUUAAGUCAGUUGUGAAAGUUUGCGGCUCAACCGUAAAAUUGCAUUUGAAACUGGCAGUCUUGCGUACAGUAGAGGUGGGCAGAAUUCGUGGUGUAGCGGUGAAAUGCGUAGAUAUCACGAAGAACUCCGAUUGCGAAGGCAGCUCACUGGACUGCAACUGACACUGAGGCUCGAAAGUGUGGGUAUCAAACAGGAUUAGAUACCCGGGUAGUC
rnacentral:rRNA from 1 species